rnacentral:lncRNA from 1 species
GGUGCACAUAAUAUUAUAUGUCUUAUUUUUCUUGUUUUUAUAUUUUUUAUGUGUUUAUUUUAAUUUUUUUCUUUUUCAAAAAAUUUUAAAAAAUUUUCAAAAUAUUUUUCAGUUUUUAUUUUAACAUCACUUCUUUACUUAAAAAAGAACAAACAAUUAAUUGAAUUAAUUGUAAUGAUUUUUUUUUUAUUUUAGCUCAGCACGAAUAAUUUAA